UACGAGGGGGGCGAGCGUUGUUCGGAAUUAUUGGGCGUAAAGGGGUGCGAUAGGCGGUUUGGCAAAUUCUUGUGUGAAAUCUUUGGGACUCAACCCGAAAGUCUGACCAUAAGAAACUGCCGGGCUUGAGUAUGGGAGAGGUGAGUGGAAUUUCCGGUGGUAGCGGUGAAAUGCGUAGAUAUCGGAAGGAACACCUGUGGCGAAAGCGGCUCACUGGACCAUUACUGACGGCU
rnacentral:rRNA from 1 species